rnacentral:misc_RNA from 1 species
UCCUCCUCCUCCUCCGCCGCCGCCGUCGUCUUCUUCUUCUCUUCUCCGACCGUCGGCGACUCUAUCCGAAGCCCUGGCGCAGAAAAUUGGAAAAUCUAUUCGCCGUCCCGGCGCACCUUCAAAGGCCCGGGUGUAUACGGAUAUCAAUGUGAUCCGACCUAAAGAGUAUUGGGAUUAUGAAUCCCUAACUGUUCAAUGGGGGGAGCAGGAUGAUUACGAGGUGGUAAGGAAAGUUGGGAGAGGGAAGUAUAGCGAGGUGUUUGAGGGAAUUCACACUACUAAUAAUGAAAAAUGCAUCAUCAAAAUCCUUAAGCCAGUGAAGAAGAAAAAGAUCAAGCGUGAGAUUAAGAUACUGCAGAAUCUUUGUGGUGGACCUAAUAUUGUGAAGUUACUUGAUAUUGUCAGAGAUCAGCAGUCGAAGACCCCAAGUCUUAUAUUUGAAUAUGUGAAUAACACAGAUUUUAAAGUGCUCUAUCCAACUCUUUCUGACUUUGACGUUAGAUAUUACAUCUAUGAGCUGUUGAAGGC